CGGUGAAUACGUUCCCGGACCUUGUACACACCGCCCGUCAAGCCAUGGAAGCUGGGUGUACCUAAAGUCGGUAACCGCAAGGAGCUGCCUAGGGUAAAACUAGUAACUGGGGCU
rnacentral:rRNA from 1 species